GGCGUGGCGGCUGCUUUAACAUGCAGUCGACGGCAGCACGGGCUUCGGCCUGGUGGCGAGUGGCGAACGGGUGAGUAAUACAUCGGAACGUACCCAGAAGUGGGGGAUAACGCAGCGAAAGUUGCGCUAAUACCGCAUACGUUCUACGGAAGAAAGUGGGGGAUCUUCGGACCUCAUGCUUUUGGAGCGGCCGAUGUCUGAUUAGCUAGUUGGUGGGGUAAAGGCUCACCAAGGCGACGAUCAGUAGCUGGUCUGAGAGGACGACCAGCCACACUGGAACUGAGACACGGUCCAGACUCCUACGGGAGGCAGCAGUGGGGAAUUUUGGACAAUGGGCGCAAGCCUGAUCCAGCAAUGCCGCGUGAGUGAAGAAGGCCUUCGGGUUGUAAAGCUCUUUUGUCAGGGAAGAAACGGCUCCGGCUAAUAUCCGGGGCUAAUGACGGUACCUGAAGAAUAAGCACCGGCUAACUACGUGCCAGCAGCCGCGGUAAUACGUAGGGUGCAAGCGUUAAUCGGAAUUACUGGGCGUAAAGCGUGCGCAGGCGGUUUUGUAAGUCUGUCGUGAAAGCCCCGGGCUCAACCUGGGAAUUGCGAUGGAGACUGCAAGGCUUGAAUCUGGCAGAGGGGGGUAGAAUUCCACGUGUAGCAGUGAAAUGCGUAGAGAUGUGGAGGAACACCGAUGGCGAAGGCAGCCCCCUGGGUCAAGAUUGACGCUCAUGCACGAAAGCGUGGGGAGCAAACAGGAUUAGAUACCCUGGUAGUCCACGCCCUAAACGAUGUCUACUAGUUUGUCGGGUUUUAAUUAACUUGGUAACGCAGCUAACGCGUGAAGUAGACCGCCUGGGGAGUACGGUCGCAAGAUUAAAACUCAAAGGAAUUGACGGGGACCCGCACAAGCGGUGGAUGAUGUGGAUUAAUUCGAUGCAACGCGAAAACCUUACCUACCCUUGACAUGGAAGAAUCCCGAGAGAUUGGGAGUGCCCGAAAGGGACCUUCACACAGGUGCUGCAUGGCUGUCGUCAGCUCGUGUCGUGGGAUGUUUGGGG
rnacentral:rRNA from 1 species